rnacentral:lncRNA from 1 species
UAAGUCCUUCUUUAUACCUCAUUUUCCACACCAAGUCUUGGGCCCAACUUGCACACUCACAAGUCUAUAUCCGUAAUUAUUCUCGUAUCAUCCUCUCCAUCUAGAGACGAAUUUUCCCACAAAUUCACAGCUUCACCUCGUUCAAUUGGCCACUUCAAAGAGUCCACUAAAAAAUAGUCUGCAAAAAUAUAAAGAGCCCAAGAGAUCAAU